rnacentral:rRNA from 1 species
UACGUAGGUGGCAAGCGUUGUCCGGAUUUACUGGGCGUAAAGAGCGCGCAGGCGGUCGAUUUAGUCGCGUGUGAAAGCCCCCGGCUCAACUGGGGAGGGUCACGCGAUACUGAUCGACUCGAAGGCAGGAGAGGGUAGUGGAAUUCCCGGUGUAGUGGUGAAAUGCGUAGAGAUCCGGAGGAACACCAGGGGCGAAGGCGGCUUUCUGGGUCCGACCUGACGCUGAGGCGCGAAAGCGUGGGGAGCGAACGGG